UUUCGCUGGAAGAUGAACAGCUCCUCUUCCCCAUAGUCCGACUGUGGACAAAUGAGAGGGCUUUUGGAGGACAAGGCAGCAGGCAGAGCCCUGAGGGCCUAGCCACCCCCGCUCUCCACUCUCCACUCUCACUUCCAGCCCAGCCCGCCCAGCCCAUCCAGCCCGUCCAGCCCUGCUGCUCAGGAGCCUGGGGGAGAUCCGGUUCUCUCCCAGUCAGCCUUGCUGUGCGCGGCUUCUUGCCACCGUUUAGAAAUGGGCUUGGCAGCACAACCUCGUGGAGGGCACAGUAUUUCUUAGGGCAACAGAAUCGUCGGGAUGAAGAGGGCCUCCAGAGACUCUGAUAAACCCUUCAGGCGGACAAGACAAUAGGGGAGGGAACGGCAUUACCGGCAGAAGGAAGAGCAUGUACAGUAGCUCAAAGGAAUGAACCGCCCAACAGGUUUAAGGGAAGAAAGUGUCAGUUGCUGGACUCUCCGGUGAAAACGGACCAGACAAUGCAGGGCCCUGAACGCCAAGUUGAGGAGCUCAGAGCAUCCAGAAGGCGAAGGGGAGGCUCGGAGCCGCCUCUGAAUAACGGCCUUCCGG
rnacentral:lncRNA from 10 species